rnacentral:rRNA from 1 species
AGCGUAGGCUGCGCGGUAAGUCAGAUGUGAAAUCCCGGGGCUCAACCCCGGAACUGCAUCCGAUACUGCCGUGCUAGAGUAAUGGAGAGGUAGCUGGAAUUAUCGGUGUAGCAGUGAAAUGCGUAGAUAUCGAUAGGAACACUCGUGGCGAAAGCGAGCUACUGGACAUUUACUGACGCUGAGGCUCGAAGGCUAGGGGAGCGAAAG